UACGGAGGGUGCGAGCGUUAAUCGGAAUUGUUGGGCGUAAAGGGUGCGUAGGUGGGAUGGUAAGUUAGUUGUGAAAUUCCUGGGCUUAACCUGGGCAUGUCAACUAAGACUGCUGUUCUUGAAUAGCUUAGAGGGUAGUGGAAUUUCCGGUGUAGCGGUGAAAUGCGUAGAGAUCGGAAGGAACACCAGUGGCGAAGGCGGCUACCUGGAGGCAUAUUGACACUGAAGCACGAAAGCGUGGGUAGCAAACAGG
rnacentral:misc_RNA from 1 species